CCUACGGGUGGCAGCAGUGAGGAAUAUUGGUCAAUGGGCGAGAGCCUGAACCAGCCAAGUCGCGUGAGGGAGUACUGCCCUAUGGGUUGUAAACCUCUUUUGUCGGGGAGCAAAAGCCGGACGUGUCCGGCUGUGAGAGUACCCGAAGAAAAAGCAUCGGCUAAAUCCGUGCCAGCAGCCGCGGUAAUACGGAGGAUGCGAGGGUUAUCCGGGUUUAUUGGGUUUAAAGGGUGCGCAGGCGGAUUUUUAAGUCAGCGGUAAAAUCGUGGGGCUCAACCCCAUCCAGCCGUUGAAACUGGGGAUCUAGAGUGUGCGAGAGGUAUGCGGAAUGCGUGGUGUAGCGGUGAAAUGCAUAGAUAUCACGCAGAACCCCGAUUGCGAAGGCAGCAUACCGGUGCACAACUGACGCUCAGGCACGAAAGCGUGGGUAUCGAACAGGACUAGAUACCCUAGUAGUC
rnacentral:rRNA from 1 species